rnacentral:rRNA from 1 species
UACGUAGGGUGCGAGCGUUGUCCGGAAUUAUUGGGCGUAAAGGGCUCGUAGGCGGUUUGUCGCGUCGGGAGUGAAAACGCCGUGCUUAACACGGCGCUUGCUUUCGAUACGGGCAGACUAGAGGUAUGCAGGGGAGAACGGAAUUCCUGGUGUAGCGGUGAAAUGCGCAGAUAUCAGGAGGAACACCGGUGGCGAAGGCGGGUCUCUGGGCCGAAAUUGACGCUGAGGAGCGAAAGCGUGGGGAGCAAACAGG